UAGGUCUACGGCGAUCGGUCGAUGAGAGUGAUGAACUCUAAAACAAAUUUGCAUUGUCGCUUGCAAUUUGCAACAUGAAAGGUGGGACGAGAAAUGGUGAGGAAAGACAAGAUCGGAGACGUUGUCAUUCCCAUGAAAGGCAACCAAGCCCCAACGCCUUCGCCUUCGCCUUUGCAUUGGCACUGAUUCGCUGUGGAUCUGGAUCUGGAUCUGUAUCUGAAUAAAAAUCUAAAUCUGAGUCUGAAUCGGAAUCUGGAUCUGAUUCUCAUUGUUAUUGUUGGUUGCCAGAAUCAUAACAAACGUGCAACAGCCACAAGGGUGUAGGACUCAACGUGUGUCUGAUAUUUAUGCAAAUUGUUAAAAGUCAAAGCAAAUUAAGCUCAACCUUCAGCGAAGAUGACGUUGGAUUCUGUUGCCCCAUUGCGUUGCAAGUUGCUAGUUGCAAGUUGUACGUUGCAAGUUGCACGUUGCACCUUCCUGCAGUUGAUUUCUCCUCAGUGGAGAGUGUGAGUGGAGUGCUGAGGUGUGUCAGGCGUAUUAUUUAUAAGGCCUAGAAGAAGGCAGCUCGCACGCGAAUAAUCAAGCCUCAGCACCAAUUUUUAGUUUAUGGUCUAGUUCUUUAUAUGUUGUGUAAUUCUUUUUUUACGUUUUCGCGCUAUUUUGCGAUUGAAUUCAUAAAUAUGGAAUCAAAUCUAUGGAGUGUUUGAGCCGCAAGAAUGUAGGAACUAACGAAGUGAGAGGUAACAAUAUGGUUUUUGGGUGAUCAAAGGCCAUAAUCAAAUAUCUUCAAUAACUUGGUAAAUACGGUACAGAAUAAACUGCAUUUGAAUAAAA